GAAUCUUCCGCAAUGGACGCAAGUCUGACGGAGCGACGCCGCGUGAGUGAUGAAGGUCUUCGGAUCGUAAAACUCUGUUGUAAGGGAAGAACAGGUGUUAGUCGAAUAGGCUAACAUUUUGACGGUACCUUACGAGAAAGCCCCGGCUAACUACGUGCCAGCAGCCGCGGUAAUACGUAGGGGGCGAGCGUUGUCCGGAAUUAUUGGGCGUAAAGGGCGCGCAGGCGGUCUUUUAAGUCUGAUGUGAAAGCUUGUGGCUUAACCGCAAGAGGCCAUUGGAAACUGGAAGACUUGAGUGCAGAAGAGGAGAGUGGAAUUCCACGUGUAGCGGUGAAAUGCGUAGAGAUGUGGAGGAACACCAGUGGCGAAAGCGACUCUCUGGUCUGCAACAGACGCUGAGGCGCGAAAGCAUGGGGAGCAAAC
rnacentral:rRNA from 1 species